rnacentral:rRNA from 1 species
GACGAACGCUGGCGGCGUGCUUAACACAUGCAAGUCGAACGGAAAGGCCCUGCUGUUGUGGGGUGCUCGAGUGGCGAACGGGUGAGUAACACGUGAGUAACCUGCCCUUUACUUUGGGAUAACGUCAGGAAACUGGGGCUCAUACCGGAUAGGACCUCCUGCUGCAUGGUGGUGGUUGGAAAGUUUCGGCGGUUGGGGAUGGACUCGCGGCUUAUCAGCUUGUUGGUGGGGUAGUGGCUUACCAAGGCUUUGACGGGUAGCCGGCCUGAGAGGGUGACCGGCCACAUUGGGACUGAGAUACGGCCCAGACUCCUACGGGAGGCAGCAGUGGGGAAUAUUGCACAAUGGGCGGAAGCCUGAUGCAGCAACGCCGCGUGCGGGAUGACGGCCUUCGGGUUGUAAACCGCUUUCGCCUGUGACGAAGCGUGAGUGACGGUAAUGGGUAAAGAAGCACCGGCUAACUACGUG